UGAGUUUAAAUGAAACAAAUUAACAAAUCUUUACUGGCCAUCUUAUGUCUGAACAACUGACUAGAGCUUGGGUUUGGUUGGUCCAAUUUGGCCCUGGAAGCAGGAAGGAGUUCUUGUUACCCUGGGCUUCCUGUGAAAUGCAUGCUUUCCUUGGUUCCAGGACCCGGCCAGAGUGAACAGGAAGAGCAGCUGAUCACCACCUCUGCUGUGUGGAGCCCCACCUUGGGCAGUGAUUCUUCCUCUGUGUACCUGUAUCCACUAAACCCCCAGCCUUGCUCACCAUGGGCCCCAGACCUAAGAAAACAAAUGCUCCUUUCUGGAAAAUUACUCUGGCCUUGAUUUCUGCAAGCUCAGCCUAGGACAAAGAAAGCUGGAACAUUGUGAGUAUGGCUUAGGGACAUUAGGGAAAGGAAUGCUGGAGUUUCUAUCCAGGAAGGCGGUGGGAUAAUUCCUUCACUCAGGAGUGCUGGGGGACUUGCAGCAGUGGGGUGCUGCUGGCUCAGGAUCUGAUGGAGAUGAAAAUUUUAAAUGCUUGGUAACUGCUAAACAAUUAAAGCUGCAUUAGAGUCCAGACCAGAGCUUAAUGUAGGAGAAACAACAAUUGACCCCAGGCCCUGGUACAGCUGAGUUGUCUCUUCUGCCUGAGCUCAUCAAGGAGUUAAUUCUAGGGAGAAUGGAGCCCUGGACAAAAGUGCUCACCAGGAUGCAGAACUGAGAGAAACUGAAGCAGCGGAGAAAAUUGAGGUCUAAGAAGCAGACUGAAAUAACCAUGGUAAAGGAGGGGGACUGCACAUACCACAUGCAGGGCUUGGGAGCGGAUGGGUGCAGGGUCAGCCACCCUGCUCUCAGAGCAGCUGGCCUCCCCAGACCCAGAAACGCUU
rnacentral:lncRNA from 1 species